rnacentral:tRNA from 1 species
GCCGACUUAGCUCAGCGGUAGAGCGAGGCUUUCGUAAAGCCUAGGUCCCGGGUUCAAAUCCCGGAGUCGGCU